AGACCCGAAACCCGGUGAUCUAGCCAUGGGCAGGUUGAAGGUUGGGUAACACUAACUGGAGGACCGAACCGACUAAUGUUGAAAAAUUAGCGGAUGACCUGUGGCUGGGGGUGAAAGGCCAAUCAAACCGGGAGAUAGCUGGUUCUCCCCGAAAGCUAUUUAGGUAGCGCCUCGUGAAUUCAUCUCCGGGGGUAGAGCACUGUUUCGGCCAGGGGGCCAUCCCGGCUUACCAAUCCGAUGCAAACUGCGAAUACCGGAGAAUGUUAUCACGGGAGACACACGGCGGGUGCUAACGUCCGUCGUGAAGAGGGAAACAACCCAGACCGCCAGCUAAGGUCCCAAAGUCAUGGUUAAGUGGGAAACGAUGUGGGAAGGCCCAGACAGCCAGGAUGUUGGCUUAGAAGCAGCCAUCAUUUAAAGAAAGCGUAAUAGCUCACUGGUCGAGUCGGCCUGCGCGGAAGAUGUAACGGGGCUAAACCAUGCACCGAAGCUGCGGCAGCGAACGUAUCACCCAAGACAACUUUACACAGUUGACGCCUGACGGAGCGAAGCGACGUCAAAGCGUUUUACAACGUCGAGUUGGCUUAGGGAUACGUUCGUUGGGUAGGGGAGCGUUCUGUAAGCCGUUGAAGGUGUGUCGUGAGGCAUGCUGGAGGUAUCAGAAGUGCGAAUGCUGACAUAAGUAACGAUAAAGCGGGUGAAAAGCCCGCUCGCCGGAAGACCAAGGGUUCCUGUCCAACGUUAAUCGGGGCAGGGUGAGUCGACCCCUAAGGCGAGGCCGAAAGGCGUAGUCGAUGGGAAACGGGUUAAUAUUCCCGUACUUGGUGUUACUGCGAAGGGGGGACGGAGAAGGCUAUGUUGGCCGGGCGACGGUUGUCCCGGUUUAAGCGUGUAGGUGUGUGUUCCAGGUAAAUCCGGUUCACUUUAACACUGAGGCGUGAUGACGAGGCACUACGGUGCUGAAGCAACAAAUGCCCUGCUUCCAGGAAAAGCCUCUAAGCCUCAGGUAACAUCAAAUCGUACCCCAAACCGACACAGGUGGUCAGGUAGAGAAUACCAAGGCGCUUGAGAGAACUCGGGUGAAGGAACUAGGCAAAAUGGUGCCGUAACUUCGGGAGAAGGCACGCUGACACGUAGGUGAAGUGGUUUACCCAUGGAGCUGAAGUCAGUCGAAGAUACCAGCUGGCUGCAACUGUUUAUUAAAAACACAGCACUGUGCAAACACGAAAGUGGACGUAUACGGUGUGACGCCUGCCCGGUGCCGGAAGGUUAAUUGAUGGGGUCAGCGCAAGCGAAGCUCCUGAUCGAAGCCCCGGUAAACGGCGGCCGUAACUAUAACGGUCCUAAGGUAGCGAAAUUCCUUGUCGGGUAAGUUCCGACCUGCACGAAUGGCGUAAUGAUGGCCAGGCUGUCUCCACCCGGGACUCAGUGAAAUUGAACUCGCUGUGAAGAUGCAGUGUACCCGCGGCAAGACGGAAAGACCCCGUGAACCUUUACUAUAGCUUGACACUGAACACUGGUCCUUGAUGUGCAGGAUAGGUGGGAGGCUUUGAAGUGUGGACGCCAGUCUGCAUGGAGCCAUCCUUGAAAUACCACCCUUUAAUGGCUGGUGUUCUAACGUGGGCCCGUGAACCGGGUUGCGGACAGUGUCUGGUGGGUAGUUUGACUGGGGCGGUCUCCUCCUAAAGAGUAACGGAGGAGCACGAAGGUUGGCUAAUCCUGGUCGGACAUCAGGAGGUUAGUGCAAUGGCAUAAGCCAGCUUGACUGCGAGCGUGACGGCGCGAGCAGGUGCGAAAGCAGGUCAUAGUGAUCCGGUGGUUCUGAAUGGAAGGGCCAUCGCUCAACGGAUAAAAGGUACUCCGGGGAUAACAGGCUGAUACCGCCCAAGAGUUCAUAUCGACGGCGGUGUUUGGCACCUCGAUGUCGGCUCAUCACAUCCUGGGGCUGAAGUAGGUCCCAAGGGUAUGGCUGUUCGCCAUUUAAAGUGGUACGCGAGCUGGGUUUAGAACGUCGUGAGACAGUUCGGUCCCUAUCUGCCGUGGGCGCUGGAAGAUUGAGGGGGGCUGCUCCUAGUACGAGAGGACCGGAGUGGACGCAUCACUGGUGUUCGGGUUGUCAUGCCAAUGGCACUGCCCGGUAGCUACAUGCGGAAGAGAUAAGUGCUGAAAGCAUCUAAGCACGAAACUUGCCCCGAGAUGAAUCUUCCCUGAGCCUUUAAGGCUCCUGAAGGAACGUUGAAGACGACGACGUUGAUAGGCCGGGUGUGUAAGCGCAGCGAUGCGUUGAGCUAACCGGUACUAAUGAACCGUGAGGCUUAACCUU
rnacentral:rRNA from 1 species